GGGUUGUGAGGUUAAGCGACUAAGCGUACACGGUGGAUGCCCUGGCAGUCAGAGGCGAUGAAGGACGUGCUAAUCUGCGAUAAGCGUCGGUAAGGUGAUAUGAACCGUUAUAACCGGCGAUUUCCGAAUGGGGAAACCCAGUGUGAUUCGUCACACUAUCAUUAACUGAAUCCAUAGGUUAAUGAGGCGAACCGGGGGAACUGAAACAUCUAAGUACCCCGAGGAAAAGAAAUCAACCGAGAUUCCCCCAGUAGCGGCGAGCGAACGGGGAGGAGCCCAGAGCCUGAAUCAGUGUGUGUGUUAGUGGAAGCGUCUGGAAAGGCGCGCGAUACAGGGUGACAGCCCCGUACACAAAAAUUCACAUAUUGUGAGCUCGAUGAGUAGGGCGGGACACGUGGUAUCCUGUCUGAAUAUGGGGGGACCAUCCUCCAAGGCUAAAUACUCCUGACUGACCGAUAGUGAACCAGUACCGUGAGGGAAAGGCGAAAAGAACCCCGGCGAGGGGAGUGAAAAAGAACCUGAAACCGUGUACGUACAAGCAGUGGGAGCCUCUUUAUGGGGUGACUGCGUACCUUUUGUAUAAUGGGUCAGCGACUUAUAUUCUGUAGCAAGGUUAACCGAAUAGGGGAGCCGAAGGGAAACCGAGUCUUAACUGGGCGUUAAGUUGCAGGGUAUAGACCCGAAACCCGGUGAUCUAGCCAUGGGCAGGUUGAAGGUUGGGUAACACUAACUGGAGGACCGAACCGACUAAUGUUGAAAAAUUAGCGGAUGACUUGUGGCUGGGGGUGAAAGGCCAAUCAAACCGGGAGAUAGCUGGUUCUCCCCGAAAGCUAUUUAGGUAGCGCCUCGUGAAUUCAUCUCCGGGGGUAGAGCACUGUUUCGGCAAGGGGGUCAUCCCGACUUACCAACCCGAUGCAAACUGCGAAUACCGGAGAAUGUUAUCACGGGAGACACACGGCGGGUGCUAACGUCCGUCGUGAAGAGGGAAACAACCCAGACCGCCAGCUAAGGUCCCAAAGUCAUGGUUAAGUGGGAAACGAUGUGGGAAGGCCCAGACAGCCAGGAUGUUGGCUUAGAAGCAGCCAUCAUUUAAAGAAAGCGUAAUAGCUCACUGGUCGAGUCGGCCUGCGCGGAAGAUGUAACGGGGCUAAACCAUG
rnacentral:rRNA from 1 species